rnacentral:rRNA from 1 species
GACGAACGCUGGCGGCGUGCUUAACACAUGCAAGUCGAACGGAAAGUCCCUGCUUUUGUGGGGUGCUCGAGUGGCGAACGGGUGAGUAACACGUGAGUAACCUGCCCUUUACUUUGGGAUAACUUCAUGAAACUUGGGCUAAUACCGGAUAGGAGCUCCUGCUUCAUGGUGGGGGUUGGAAAGUUUCGGCGGUUGGGGAUGGACUCGCGGCUUAUCAGCUUGUUGGUGGGGUAGUGGCUUACCAAGGCUUUGACGGGUAGCCGGCCUGAGAGGGUGAACGGCCACAUUGGGACUGAGAUACGGCCCAGACUCCUACGGGAGGCAGCAGUGGGGAAUAAUGCAAAAUGGGCGGAAGCCUGAGGCAGCAACGCCGCGUGCGGGAUGACGGCCUUCGGGUUGUAAACCGCUUUCGCCUGUGACGAAGCGUGAGUGACGGUAAUGGGUAAAGAAGCACCGGCUAACUACGUG